AAUGUCCUACGGAGGCAGCAGUGAGGAAUAUUGGUCAAUGGGCGCGAGCCUGAACUAGCCAAGUCGCGUGAGGGAAGACGGUCCUAUGGGUUGUAAACCUCUUUUGUCGGGGAGCAAAAGACGCCACGCGUGGCGUUCCGAGAGUACCCGAAGAAAAAGCAUCGGCUAACUCCGUGCCAGCAGCCGCGGUAAUACGGAGGAUGCGAGCGUUAUCCGGAUUUAUUGGGUUUAAAGGGUGCGCAGGCGGAAGAUCAAGUCAGCGGUAAAAUUGAGAGGCUCAACCUCUUCGAGCCGUUGAAACUGGU
rnacentral:rRNA from 1 species